UUGGCCAAAAAGUUCAUUCAGGUUUUUCCAUAGCUGUUAAGGAAAACCCAAACGAACUUUUUGGCCAA
rnacentral:miRNA from 1 species